rnacentral:rRNA from 1 species
UGAGGAACAUGACCUUCGGCGGGGGAUAGCCGGCCCAACGGCCGGGUAAUACCGCGUACGACCACAUGGGGACAUCCCCGAGUGGUGAAAGCAGCAAUGCGCCGAAAGAGUGCCUCGCGGCCUAUCAGCUAGUUGGUGUGGGUAAUGGCCCACCAAGGCGACGAUGCGUAGCCGACCUGAGAGGGUGAUCGGCCACAUUGGAGCUGAGACACGGUCCAGACUCCUAGGAGG